UUUCUAUUAGGUGCCAGGGCACCACGUUGUCUUCCGGAGUGCUCCCCUCUCCUCGUCGUUAGAUGGCCAUCGUGCGGUUUGGACGGGAGAUAUCAAAGGACACACGGAUCCUCUCCUUUCCAAAAUCCCCGUUUCUGUCGAUCUCUCCCCCGCAAACUCCUGUCAUCCACGAAUUUCUUAUCUCCUUCCCCACAAACUACUUCUAGUCCACAACCAGCUCACAUCGAGAGGAUCCCGGCGCCGGCGGGGGAGAAAUGGGAGGCGCUGGCGGUGCGGAUCGAACAGCGACCGCGAUCUGGUGUCGAAGGGCGGCGGUCAUGGAGGUUGGGGAGGCGCUCGCCGGCAAAGGGGCGGAGGCCAUGGAGUUGGUGGCUGUUCGGGGGUGUGGGGCGAGGCGGCGGACGCGCACCUCCACCGCGUGUUGAAGGCCCCGCCUCCGUAGCGCGCAGCCCGGCAGGAUAGAGCACCUUGAUCCAGGGGAAGAUGCAGCGCUGGUCGGAGGAUCCGCCUUGCCUCUUCGCGCGCGCAAGAGCCACCAUGCCGUGCCGCUCCGCUGUUUUUCCCGGCCAGCGUAUGCACAUCAGCAGCAUCGCCCGUCACCCCGCCUUGCGCCUAGCUCCCGAUCGAGAGAAGCAGUUGUGCAGCCAUGGCCAUGCACGCAAGCAAGCGGGAAGCAACUUUUUUCUCUCGUAAUCGGUAGCAGGAUGUAAUUAUGUUAGUUUCUUUUCUACUGUGGAUGUAAUUUUUACUAUUUUUCUACAUCCUGAACAUUUAAUGGUGGUUAAGGUGUGAAACACUAUCAUAUUUGUGAUC